AGCAGCCGCGGUAAUUCCAGCUCCAAUAGCGUAUAUUAAAGUUGUUGCAGUUAAAAAGCUCGUAGUUGAAUUUCGGGAUCUGUCCGUUGGUCGGGCCUCACGGUCCGCACUGAUGUGAUGGAUUCCUACCUUCUGAAUAACCGGUAUGCCAUUAAUUUGAUGUGCCGGGGAAGCAGAACCAUUACCUUGAAAAAAUUAGAGUGCUCAAAGCAGGCUUGCGCCUGAAUACAUUAGCAUGGAAUAAUAAAAUAGGACGGCAUGGUUCUAUUUUGUUGGUUUCUAGGAUCACCGUAAUGAUUAAUAGGGAUAGUUGGGGGCAUUAGUAUUCAAUUGUCAGAGGUGAAAUUCUUGGAUUUAUUGAAGACUAACUUCUGCGAAAGCAUUUGCCAAGGAUGUUUUCAUUAAUCAAGAACGAAAGUUAGGGGAUCGAAGACGAUCAGAUACCGUCGUAGUCUUAACCAUAAACUAUGCCGACUAGGGAUCGGACGAUGUUAAUUUUAUAAUGACUCGUUCGGCGCCUUACG
rnacentral:rRNA from 1 species